rnacentral:pre_miRNA from 1 species
UGAACUUAAAUUUGUAUGGAGUUGGAACGUUUGCCUAAGUUUGCCGGUAGGGGCGCUGUUCCAACUCCAUACUUUGAGUUA